rnacentral:ncRNA from 1 species
AGAGUGGAGGAGGGACUGGCCCUAUGAAUCCCAGCAACCUACAAUUUGUGUGGUGCUAAUUCCAGCAAGAAUUUUAUUCUUGAAAGAUAAGA